rnacentral:sRNA from 1 species
AAGUCCUACUUUAGGCUUCCGGAAUCCGGUUGCGGUUCUAGUUUUUAUGCUCAAUGAUACACAAAGCAUCUAGUCAUAUUUGACUACAAAUUCGCUAACCUAGCUUAUUCUUGAUUCUCAAAGCUUUGAUAGUGAAGCCGAAUUCUUAUGAGUUUUUGGUUUUGAACAGUUUAAAAAGGUAGCACUACUUUACUUUCCGGGAUCUAGUUGAGGUUCUAGUUUUAUAUUCAAUCAUACACAUAACAUCUAGUCAUAUUUAACUCUGAAACGCUAACCUAGAUUCUUUUUGCUUCUUAAAGUAUUA